rnacentral:rRNA from 1 species
UACGAAAGGUGCAAGCGUUACUCGGAAUCACUGGGCGUAAAGCGCACGUAGGCGGACUCGUAGGUCAAUUGUGAAAUACCUGGGCUCAACCCGGGAACUGCAGUUGAAACCGCUUGUCUUGAAUACCUGAGAGGGUGGGGGAAUACCUGGUGGAGAAGUGAAAUUCGUAGAGAUCAGGUGGAACACCGGAGGCGAAGGCGCCUGCCUGGCAGUGUAUUGACGCUGAGGUGCGAAAGCAUGGGUAGCAAACAGG